GCAGUGGUGGUUAGUGGUAGAAUUUUUGCCUUCCAUGCUGGAAACCCAGAUUCGAUUCCUGGCCAAUGCG
rnacentral:tRNA from 1 species